GUAUUAAAAUGCGUUUAUAGCAUGCGUUACAUUCUGAGACUGACGUAGUGUAUAAAAACAUAGUGAGGCUCGACGCCCGGUGGUCUAAUCGAGCCAGACUACCAAAGGUGCACAGGUGUUGAUGGAGCGAGCCGAGCGUGCACAUGCCCCCCGAGGGAGGCCAGCGACAGCCCGUUUCAAACUCGGUAAUGAUCCUUCCGCAGGUUCACCUACGGAAA
rnacentral:misc_RNA from 1 species